UACGUAGGGGGCGAGCGUUAUCCGGAAUUAUUGGGCGUAAAGAGCUCGUAGGCGGUUUGUCGCGUCUGCCGUGAAAGUCCGGGGCUCAACUCCGGAUCUGCGGUGGGUACGGGCAGACUAGAGUGAUGUAGGGGAGACUGGAAUUCCUGGUGUAGCGGUGAAAUGCGCAGAUAUCAGGAGGAACACCGAUGGCGAAGGCAGGUCUCUGGGCAUUAACUGACGCUGAGGAGCGAAAGCAUGGGGAGCGAACAGG
rnacentral:rRNA from 1 species